rnacentral:rRNA from 1 species
UACGUAGGGUCCGAGCGUUGCCCGGAAUUACUGGGCGUAAAGAGCUCGUAGGUGGUUUGUCGCGUUGUUCGUGAAAACUCACAGCUCAACUGUGGGCGUGCGGGCGAUACGGGCAGACUAGAGUACUGCAGGGGGAGACUGAAUUCCUGGUGUAGCGGUGGAAUGCGCAGAUAUCAGGAGGAACACCGGUGGCGAAGGCGGGUCUCUGGACCGUAACUGACGCUGAGACACGAAAGCGUGGGUAGC